GGGAAUGUGGCUUAGUGGUACAGUGCUUGCCUAGUAUGCAUAAAGUGCUGGGUUCGAUUCCUCAGUUCCA
rnacentral:tRNA from 1 species